rnacentral:rRNA from 1 species
ACGCUAGCUACAGGCUUAACACAUGCAAGUCGAGGGGUAACGGCAUUAAGUGCUUGCACUUUUUGGACGUCGACCGGCGCACGGGUGAGUAACGCGUAUCCAACCUUCCCAUGACUAAGGGAUAACCUGCCGAAAGGCAGACUAAUACCUUAUGGUCUUCACUGACGGCAUCAGAUGUGAAGUAAAGAUUUAUCGGUUAUGGAUGGGGAUGCGUCUGAUUAGUUAGUUGGCGGGGUAACGGCCCACCAAGGCAACGAUCAGUAGGGGUUCUGAGAGGAAGGUCCCCCACAUUGGAACUGAGACACAGUCCAAACUCCUACGGGAGGCAGCAGUGAGGAAUAUUGGUCAAUGGGCGAGAGCCUGAACCAGCCAAGUAGCGUGCAGGAUGACGGCCCUAUGGGUUGUAAACUGCUUUUGUAUGGGGAUAAAGUCAAUCACGUGUGAUUGUUUGCAGGUACCAUACGAAUAAGGACCGGCUAAUUCCGUGCCAGCAGCCGCGGUAAUACGGAAGGUCCGGGCGUUAUCCGGAUUUAUUGGGUUUAAAGGGAGCGUAGGCUGGAGAUUAAGUGUGUUGUGAAAUGUAGACGCUCAACGUCUGACUUGCAGCGCAUACUGGUUUCCUUGAGUACGCACAACGUUGGCGGAAUUCGUCGUGUAGCGGUGAAAUGCUUAGAUAUGACGAAGAACUCCGAUCGCGAAGGCAGCUGACGGGAGCGCAACUGACGCUGAAGCUCGAAGGUGCGGGCAUCGAACAGGAUUAGAUACCCUGGUAGUCCGCACAGUAAACGAUGGAUGCCCGCUGUUGGUACGUGGUAUCAGCGGUUAAGCGAAAGCAUUAAGCAUCCCACCUGGGGAGUACGCCGGCAACGGUGAAACUCAAAGGAAUUGACGGGGGCCCGCACAAGCGGAGGAACAUGUGG